rnacentral:rRNA from 1 species
GAUGAACGCUGGCGGCGUGCCUAAUACAUGCAAGUCGAGCGAAGCGGGGACGGGUGAGUAACAUGUGGAUAACCUCCUAUAAGACUGGGAUAACUUAGGGAAACCGUAGCUAAACCCGCUACUUAUCGAUGGAUCCGCGCUGCAUUAGCUAGUUGGUAAGGUAACGGCUUACAAAGGCAACGAUGCAUAGCCGACCUGAGAGGGGGAUCGGCCACACUGGAACUGAGACACGGCCAAGACGCCUCCGUGAGGAAGCAGUAGGGAAUCUUCCGCAAUGGGCGAAAGCCUGACGGAGCAACGCCGCGUGAGUGAUGAAGGUCUUCGGUUCGUAAAACUCUGUGAUUAGGGAAGCGGUACCUAAUCAGAAAGCCACGGCUAACUACGUGCCAGCAGCCGCGGUAAUAC